CUCUGGUUUAUGGCAUAAGAAUUGGACUUUAUAUCACAACCCUUAACAUUUACCAGCUCUUUGAUCCACAGCCUUGCUGUGAAGGUCAAGUGAUAGAAUAGGAAUAAACCAUUUUUGGAAACUUUAAGCCAUGUGAAUAGAAUAUUUUUAUUGCUGUUACUUUUGCCCUAACUUAGAAUAUGUUGUGAUUUACCUCUAACUGAAUAAAUAUUUCUCAUAACCAAACAAAAAGAAAUUAGAAACGGUGUGGUGUCGUGUAGGCGUCAUUGCAUUCUUUUUAUAAAGGUGUACAGAUACGUGUGCACAUGUGAGGUGCUGUAGAAAUGAAGCUCACGAAGCAAAUACCUGGAGUAGCUUUGAAGAAUAGAGAAGCAUUUCCCUUCGUAAGCUCCAAUGUGGAACAUCGUGACUGCAGCAGAGACACAGACAACAGAUGCCUGAGAAGAGGAGGAUGUUUACCAUUGGAGGGAAAUGGAAAGUGUUUAUUUUCUGUCUGGUCAGAAGCUCAACAUCAGAUGCACAUCUCAGGGCCCUGGUGCCCUGAACACACACACGCACAUGGACCUUGGGGUGAGUGUGGAGAACCCAGUGGGAAUGUGGGGCCACAAAGAGACGGGAAGAGUUAUGUGCUAUGGAAGAGCUUUGAUUUGUUCCAUGGGAAAUGCCAGGCUUCACAUAAGGGAAGAUUUUG
rnacentral:lncRNA from 12 species